AAGUUUUGCGGCCUAAUCUGCCUAUAAAUUGAGGGCUUCAUAGUAGCCUGAAAAUCACCAACUACGAUUCCCCCUCCUUCCUUUAUGCACCAAAAAUCAUAGAGAGUUUAUUUCAGCUGCAAUCUGGACCCCAAGAGUUUAUUCAUUCCUGAAUUCAUUAGCACAGCAGCCAACCAAGCACAAAAAAACACAGGUCAAGCACAAGAGUUUAAGGCUUAGUCGUGAGUCUCGACUACCAGGUUGAGCUGUGAUGGAUGAUGAAGUGUUGCUGAGUGGAGCUUUUGUCAAUUUGAAAUUAGGCUCAGAAAAGAUAUAUGUCUGCAUACAUGUAUCUCAGUUAUGUCUUCCGCUGCAAACACUGAUUAUGUUUUGGUCAAGUCUAUAACUAUGUGAAUUACUCUUCAAAGAAAUAUCUAAUGCUUACUCGGGUUCAUCGAGUAUCCUUUUUAAUUAUAUGCGUCAAUCCUUCAAUGUCUUAAAUUUUAUUUCAAGAAUUAAUGCUAGAUAUCAAUGUCUAUAAUCAAGUUAUAAAUGAGUCAAAUGUGCCCUUUCUAACCCCGCU